rnacentral:rRNA from 1 species
AUUGAACGCUGGCGGCAUGCCUUACACAUGCAAGUCGAACGGUAACGGGCCUUCGGGUGCCGACGAGUGGCGAACGGGUGCGUAAUACAUCGGAACGUGCCCGAUCGUGGGGGAUAACGAGGCGAAAGCUUUGCUAAUACCUCAUACGAUCUACGGAUGAAAGCAGGGGACCGCAAGGCCUUGCGCGGACGGAGCGGCCGAUGGCAGAUUAGGUAGUUGGUGGGAUAAAAGCUUACCAAGCCGACGAUCUGUAGCUGGUCUGAGAGGAUGAUCAGCCACACUGGGACUGAGACACGGCCCAGACUCCUACGGGAGGCAGCAGUGGGGAAUUUUGGACAAUGGGCGCAAGCCUGAUCCAGCCAUGCCGCGUGCAGGAUGAAGGCCUUCGGGUUGUAAACUGCUUUUGUACGGAACGAAAAGCCUUCUUUUAAUACAGGAGGGUCAUGACGGUACCGUAAGAAUAAGCACCGGCUAACUACGUG